UGCUUGUCUCAAAGAUUAACCCAUGCAUGUUUAAGUAUAAGCAAUUAUACCGUGAAACUGCGAAUGGCUCAUUAAAUCAGUUAUCGUUUAUUUGAUAGUACCUUACUACUUGGAUAACCGUGGUAAUUCUAGAGCUAAUACAUGCUAAAAACCUCGACUUCGGAAGGGGUGUAUUUAUUAGAUAAAAAGCCAAUGCCCUCCGGGGCUCUUUGGUGAUUCAUAGUAACUUAACGGAUCGCAUGGCCUUGCGCCGGCGACGGUUCAUUCAAAUUUCUGCCCUAUCAACUUUCGAUGGUAAGGUAUUGGCUUACCAUGGUUUCAACGGGUAACGGGGAAUUAGGGUUCGAUUCCGGAGAGGGAGCCUGAGAAACGGCUACCACAUCCAAGGAAGGCAGCAGGCGCGCAAAUUACCCAAUCCCGACACGGGGAGGUAGUGACAAUAAAUACUGAUACAGGGCUCUUUUGGGUCUUGUAAUCGGAAUGAGUACAAUUUAAACCCCUUAACGAGGAACAAUUGGAGGGCAAGUCUGGUGCCAGCAGCCGCGGUAAUUCCAGCUCCAAUAGCGUAUAUUAAAGUUGUUGCAGUUAAAAAGCUCGUAGUUGAACCUUGGGCCUGGCUGGCCGGUCCGCCUCACCGCGUGUACUGGUCGGCCGGGCCUUUCCUUCUGGAGAACCCCAUGCCCUUCACUGGGUGUGCGGGGGAACCAGGACUUUUACUGUGAAAAAAUUAGAGUGUUCAAAGCAGGCCUUUGCUCGAAUACGUUAGCAUGGAAUAAUAGAAUAGGACGUGCGAUCCUAUUUUGUUGGUUUCUAGGACCGCCGUAAUGAUUAAUAGGGAUAGUCGGGGGCAUCAGUAUUCAAUUGUCAGAGGUGAAAUUCUUGGAUUUAUUGAAGACUAACUACUGCGAAAGCAUUUGCCAAGGAUGUUUUCAUUAAUCAGUGAACGAAAGUUAGGGGAUCGAAGACGAUCAGAUACCGUCGUAGUCUUAACCGUAAACUAUGCCGACUGGGGAUCGGGCGAUGUUUCUAUCUUGACUCGCUCGGCACCCUAAGAGAAAUCAAAGUUUUUGGGUUCUGGGGGGAGUAUGGUCGCAAGGCUGAAACUUAAAGGAAUUGACGGAAGA
rnacentral:rRNA from 1 species